AUUGAACGCUGGCGGCAGGCCUAACACAUGCAAGUCGAACGGUAACAGGAAGAAGCUUGCUUCUUUGCUGACGAGUGGCGGACGGGUGAGUAAUGUCUGGGAAACUGCCUGAUGGAGGGGGAUAACUACUGGAAACGGUAGCUAAUACCGCAUAACGUCGCAAGACCAAAGAGGGGGACCUUCGGGCCUCUUGCCAUCGGAUGUGCCCAGAUGGGAUUAGCUAGUAGGUGGGGUAACGGCUCACCUAGGCGACGAUCCCUAGCUGGUCUGAGAGGAUGACCAGCCACACUGGAACUGAGACACGGUCCAGACUCCUACGGGAGGCAGCAGUGGGGAAUAUUGCACAAUGGGCACAAGCCUGAUGCAGCCAUGCCGCGUGUAUGAAGAAGGCCUUCGGGUUGUAAAGUACUUUCAGCGGGGAGGAAGGGAGUAAAGUUAAUACCUUUACUCAUUGACGUUACCCGCAGAAGAAGCACCGGCUAACUCCGUG
rnacentral:rRNA from 1 species